UACGUAGGGACCGAGCGUUGUCCGGAAUCAUUGGGCGUAAAGAGCGUGUAGGCGGCUUGGUAGGUCCGCUGUGAAAACUCGAGGCUCAACCUCGAGAUGUCGGCGGAAACCAUCUGGCUAGAGUCCGGAAGAGGAGAGUGGAAUUCCUGGUGUAGCGGUGAAAUGCGCAGAUAUCAGGAGGAACACCGGUGGCGAAGGCGGGUCUCUGGGCCGAUACUGACGCUGAGGAGCGAAAGCGUGGGGAGCGAACAGG
rnacentral:rRNA from 1 species